UAUGUGGAUGGGGAAGAAAAAAAUCACAGCACUUUGUACAGCGGCCACCGCGCUCCCUUUUCACAGUCUCUGACAGGCAGAGCGGCGCGCUGUUUUUACGCAUAGCCUCCAGUCCUGCGGGGCAUUGCAGACGUUGUUUAGUAGCUGUGUAACAAACUCAUGAGAAGACAUCAGAGAGGCACGGUCUUUGACAACCUGGAUAUCCUAGUCCAAAGUUAACAGUCCGCCUCCAUCCUCCGCCCUCUGUUCUUCUUCAUGGUGCUGAGACUCUGCGUGGAUCCGUGACAGGACACCGGCCAGAGAAAAAAGGAUUUUGGCCGCAUAAAAAACGAGGAGGAGGCGCCUCUGGCGUUGAAGCUGAGCGGCUUUUAGAUGGAUCCUUCAUGUUUGCUUCAGUCUCAGAGGAGACAGUCUGCUCUGAACACUUCCAGGUUACCGUGACAGUGAGGUGUAAAACAUGACACAUCGCAGCGUAUGGAUUGCCAAAAACAUGAGCUGCACCCAGCCUGAAAGAAGCGGCUCUCUUGUCCUCUCCUGCGCGCACUUGAAGCAGAUGAUUGCGCGCAAGACAGUUGGUGGGGCCAGAUGGAGUGUGUGGAGGAAGGACAGACAAGAGCUUACUUCU